AUAGGGCAAUGGUUUACUAACGGGAGAUGCAGGGCAUAUUUUAAGGAUUUUUUACUGCGUCCCAAAGAUGGCGUAGGGCACAUGCUUCGAUCGGAAAGGGCACAUCGUAAGCGAAAUAGUAUAUAAUGCAAGUGAGAUAAUGUACAGUAUACAGCCUCGCCUCUGUCGGUUCCGCCCAGGUUCAGGGAUAGUCUUACUCUUCUCCAGUUUUAGCUAAAGUCUUAUAUUUUUAUUCUCUAUCAAUAUAAGUACCUUCUGGAUCUGAGGGCAGGGCAAUUAACAGGACUAGAGGUGUCAAAAUUUCCCCGAAAUCCGGGACUAGUACCGGACCGGCACCGCAUCAAGUUUGGUUAGGCCCAGCAUCAAGCCCAGCACUCAUAUAAUUAUGAGUGCUGAGUGCAAGUAUACUUGAGCCCGGCAUCAAGCCCGGCGGUACAUCCUUUCAGCAUUACGCUGUUCAUUCUGCAAGCCCGGCAUGAGCCCGGCAGCAUCGCGUUCAGGUCAUGGAAAAGCCCUGCCGGGCCCGAUUUUGGGCCCGGCGCCGGGCCUGCGGUCUCGACCUUAACAUCUCUAAACAGAACCUCAGGGAUGGGCAGGGCACAGAGUCUGAGCCCUACGGACAGGGCAGGCAUUGGCCAUGAGGCUAAGAUAAGACACAUUAGGCGCUUGAGGACUGGGUAGGAUGCAGGGUCCAAAGGCAAGGCUGGUAUCGGGUAUCGGGUAUCAUAUAAGGUAUCGGGUUUGAGGGCAGGGCAAGGCGGGGCACAGAGCCUGAAUGCAGAGCAGGGCAGGUCAAGGUACAAGACCUACGGACAGGACACUGGGCAGGGCACAUACCCUAGGGGUAUAAAACCGUGGCAUUUCAGUGUGGGACGCAGUGGUUCAAAUUUCGCGAGGGCUACGUCCCAAAGGCAGGGGGCUGCGUCCCAAAAUGGGACGCAGUCAGUGUGUUAAAAUAUGCCCUGGGGAGAUGUGAUGGAUUGAAGCAGCAAUACUUGAAAUAUAAAGAAGAAGUGAAGCAAUUAUGUUAUCUAUUAUUUUUUAUAAAGACAGAAGGAACGUGGAAGAAAAAACAUUUUGUCCAGCAUGUGAAAACAAGGAAAUAGAAUGGAAGAAGGGCUGCUACUUUUCAUGCGACCGAAACCAGCCACCUCAUCAUCAUAGCAUGUUGCAUUGGAGCUCUGCUGGAGUUUGCUGAUGACAGGAUGCUGAAGGGCUGAAGCUGGUAGCUCUGGCAGGAGUCCAGUGUCCACCAGCUCAAGAUCCGACGCCGCCGCGUCACCGCCGUGCGGCACUCCGCGGAGACGGGGACGGCGGUCAUGAUUGAAGACACCGCAUUUCCCGCCUGGACUGUCUGGUCGGAGACUGGUAAUCCCUCUGGUGAGCCGCACACCGUGGAGCUACUGCACCGCGCGUGUCCACCCGCAGCGCAGUGCCAGCAACAGUGCCGUGAGUGCGACAUCUACGUGCAUAUGACGCAGUGCGACUGUCACGACUCGCGGCUCAGUGUUCUGUCAGUGUGACAGUGCGGUUUAGUGUAACAGUGCGGUUUUUUCAAAACGUGCGCUCGCGCUCGUUUUAGCGAGGUGCUCUGUUGUAUGAUGGAGACCUAUCUGUCGCUUGAGUUUCAAUGUACAGUUUUAUGCAUCAAACUAGCGUAAGUAAAUGGCUGUCAGAGGUCAAUUUGAAGCGCAAUUAGUACCCAUAACCCAGCUGGGUUGAGCGAGUCAUGUGACGUCUAGUCCCGAUGAACGUACUGUUUCGAUGUCGUCAGUCGUAGACUUUUGUAAACCAUUCGUUUCGGAGCUCUGUGUUGUGCUGUUCGGGACCGCAGUUGUUUGAGCAGUUUGCUUUAUGCGUCGUACGCUGACAGAACGCUGGUCGUACACAAGUCAUGUGUUUCCUUUCGCCCCUAAUGGGUUACUGCGGUACCUAUGCAGUUGGAAUGUGUCUCGAGACACUAACUGGUCGCACUUGGUUGUGAAAAUGACACUAGCUGGUCGCACUUGGUUUCAAGCUGCGCUUGGAAAUCGUGCAAUUCUAUUUGCAUUUUGCAAUGCAAUUUUAUUGCCGUUCGUAUUGGUAGAUAGUGUCAGAAGUUGGCCAUUUAAUGCGUUGUCAUUUGUCAGACGCUGUUGCCUUAGUACUGACAAAUUGAUGGACCGCGUUUGUGUUCCUGUUAAGAAACGGAUCUCAAUAUAAAGUGAUUCAGAGGUGGGAACCUGAAUGCA